UCUUUCUGCCCCUCCGCCUCUGGUAUAGUUGGGACUACAGGUGUGACCCACUGUGCCUACUCAUGGGGAUUCUUUUGGUGAAAGUAAGCUUCAAAGCAAAGAAGAGGUCUUUUAGUAUCAUCUCUGGGUAAUUCUAGAAAAAAAGUAGGUCAAAGUAAUGCUACUAGAAGAAAUAGGUUUUCUUUAUGUCACACUGGAGUCUUUGGAAGAAAGUGAAUAGCCCUGGCUGUGGCUGGUGUGCUUUUGAGAAUGCAUGCGAGCACCUGCAACAUCGCUGUCAGGGAGUGAAAAUGGAAAGGGCAGUGCCCACAGUACAUCCCAGUCCACAGAACCACAGCUGGUGCAGCUCUCAUUCUCAGAGCAACAGAACCCCAGGCAGGGAGAGCCCCUCUAACACCCAAAUGAAGAAAGAACCACUAGAGCUCAUAAGAAAGAACGAGAAAAGGAAAUCUGGGACUCCUUUCCUUCUAAGAAGGAGGUAAGUAUCCUAAGGGAGAUGGCGGAGAAAAGGAGAAACUUAAAAGUGUCAGAGGAGAAAACGGGGGAUGGGGAGACAGAGGCACCCUGCCCUAUUCUUUACAGGGUUCCGUAGAACUGUCAAUAGAUUUCCACUCCUGUUUCUUUCAAAUUUUUAAAUUCCUCCCAGAAUAGCAGCUCUCUGAGGUGUCAGGAAAAAAGCAGUAUUGAAUUACUUGACAUUGAAAUGUAAAUACCUGCAGGACUCAGUAUCCUACAGAUCUUGGCUUUUCAGAAGCAGGAUAAAGAGUCUCUAUUUGGUUGGAUUCCAGGCAUGGUCAUAAGUGAAGACCAUGUACAUGAUGUGUAGGUGGUUAUGGGCAGAAUACGCCACAGAGAGAUACCAGUUCUGUGCAAGUAGCUUUCCUCAGGCUCCAGCUUCAUACCCCUAGUUGUUACUGCUUUUCUUGGCCUUCUUUUCAUCUCCACUGCAUUGACUCAGAUCCCUUCACUUUCUCUCAUAUGCACAGGGGCACCGGUAGCUUUUGGGUUUGGGUUUGGAGGCAUGGAGGUACAGCAGCACAGCAACAUUCUUUGUAUGGUUGACCGAUUUUUAAUUCAGGUGUUCUAGCUAUAUAUUGAUGCUUAACAAAUCACCAACUUUUUGUGGCAUAAAACACCAUUUGAUUCUGUGCACAAAUUGUGCAGGCCAGGAAUUCAGGCAGGGAAGAGUAGAGACAGUUUAUCUUUGAUUAUCAGUGUCUGGGUCCUCAGAUAAUCUAAGCUGGAGGCUAGAGCCAGAGUGCUGGAGGAAUCACCUCCAAGAAGGCUUCUUCAUUCUCAUGUGUGGUCCCCGGGCUGGGAAAGCUAAAAGUGGGCUCAGCUCAGACUGUCAUGGACUAUCAACCAGACGACUACAUGUGCCCUUGCCAGCAUAGUGGUCUUAGAGUAAUUGAACUUCUUACCUGGGCAUCUUAGAAUUCCAAAAGCCAAGAUUCCCUAAGGAAAAGACAGAAGCUUUAUGACUUUUUAUGACUUGGUCUUGGUCACAAUGUAAUUCUUCUGCCACACGCUGUUGGUCAAAGCAGUCCACUCAGAUUUAAAGGGAGAAGAUAGGUCCCACCUUGUUAAGUUCUUAAUAUGUCCCCCAAAAUGUAUACGUUGGAGCCUAAAAUCCAAUGUGAUAGUAUUAAGAAGCAGAGCCUUUAGAAGGUUUAGUCAUGUGGGCAGAGCUCUUGUGGAUGAGAUUCUGACCCUUAUAAAAGGGCUUGAGGAAUGGCUAUGCACUCUUCCACUCUUCCACCGCACAAGGACACAGCAUGCAUCCGCUCGGGAGGAUACAGCAACACGGCAUCAUCUUGGAAACAGAAACAGGGCUCUCACCAGACACCAAACCUGCUGGUGCCUUGGUCUUGGGCUUCCCAGCCUCCCAAAUGGUGAGAAAUAAAUUUCUGUUCUUUAUAAAUUACCCAGUCUCAGAUAUUUUUUAAUAGCAACACAGGCAGACUAAGUCACAACUCUUGAUGAAAAGAGGUUUAAAGAAUUUGCAGCUGCAUUUUAAAGCUGCCACAAUGAGGUGCUUUUUGAAACCAAAGACUGCUUCUGCCACAUGUUUAUUUCCCAUGAAAAUUUUCCAGGAAGUCAUUGAGAAUGUUGCUCUGGCUAUAUUCAAGUGGUUCCUAAACUAAAGGAUGUAUAAGAAUCACUGAGGCGCUUGUGAAAAGUGCGUAUGCCUAGGCUCCACCUCCCCAGUUUAUCUCUUAUUGCUCUACUUAUCACCUGUAACCUGCACCCAGGUCAAUCUGAUACUUUAUUAUUUGUUUUUCUUUUUGUACCUUUUCCUCUGCCCCUCUUAACUGAUUUAGAAGUUAUACAAUCUAUUUCUGUUUUUUAGUGGAAACUUUGAAAUUUUACCUUGCACAUCUACUUUAAUAAAGUCUUAUACUAAUAUCUUAACAUUUCUCCUUUAAUACUGUAGAACAUUUAACUCUGAUCACCCAUUUCUCAGAUGAAGACCUGCUAAUGUUUAAUAUUUUAGUGCUAUAUAUUUUGGAUUCCAGUCCUGCCACAGACACUUUUGAGUGCCCUGCCAUAUCUCCCCAGUCAAGCCUGGAAGUACUAGUCGCCUCAGUGGACAGUUCUUACACACAUUGAUGGCUGCCUGUCUCAAGCACCUGCAUAUCUUUUCUGAGGGUUUUCACUGAUUGCAGGAGCAUAUUCUGCAGGCCAGAAAAGCUGACACCAAAAGGCAAUUCUCAGCCAAUACGAAAUAGCAGUUAGUAGAUAAAUGCCCCAACUUCAUCACUCUUUGGUGAGAAAAUUCUAAAAUGUGCUACACACAGAUUUUCAGAGGAAUCCCAGUGGGGUUGAGCCCUGUUGUUAACAGCAAGCAGUUACUUGCUCAUUUAUGCACCUUCUCUUGGCUUCCUUUCUGUUAUGGACCAAAUGUUUGUGUGUCUCUCUGAAAUUUGUAUGUUGAGCUCCUAACUCCCAGAGUGAUGCUGUUAGGAAGUGGGGACUUUGAGAGGUGAUUAGGUGAAUAGGAUUAGUCCCCUUAUAAAAAGACACAAGAAAGCUCUCUCUCCUUCUCUCUGCUAUGUUAAGUACAACCAAAAGUAAGCUGUCUGCAAUCCAGAAGUGGGUCCCCACCAAAACCUGGCCAUGCUGCCCUGUAAUCUUAACCUUCCAGCCUUUACAAAAGUGAGAAAUAAAUUUCUGUUGUUUAUAAACUAUCCAGUCUAUGGUACUUUGUUAUAACAGUCUAAAUCUUAACAUUUUUCUUGAAUAAUACUUUAAAACAUUUAACUCUGAUCACUCACUUCUCAACUGAAACCCUACUUUGUUUAAUAUUUCAAUGUUAUACAUUUUGAAUUCCAGUCUUACCACAGAUGCUAUUGAGUGACCUGCUGUAUCUCCCCAGUUGAGCCUGGAAGUCACCAGCAGCUUCAGUGGACAGUUCUUACACACAUUGUUGGCUUCCUGUCUCAAGACUAAGACGCUUCACUCUCCUAUUGAUGCUUCCUGGCAUCAUUUCCAAAAUGAAGGCUCUGACAUUUCUUCUAGUUUCAUCUUCCUUCUUAUAUGCUUUGGUGGAAAGAUCUAAAGGAGACAUUCUGAACCUCUCAUCUGGCAAUGGCAUGUUCCCUGUCCCACUGUUGACCAUGCAUUCCGCAACCAAGACUUUUGUAGAUUUCUUCUCUCGGUGCCUCCCUGAGGAGUACAGGAGCAAGGGCAUCUUUGUGCAGAGCAUCCUGCCAUACUUCGUAGCUACAAAACUGGCUAAAAUCCGAAAGCCAACUUUGGAUAAGCCCUCUUUGGAGACGUUUGUGAAAUCUGCAAUUAUAACAGGAGGCCUGCAAAUCCCAAACCAAUGGAUACCUGAUUCAUGCUCUUCUGGGUUCCAUAAUCUCAAUCCUGCCUUCUUAGAUUUAUUUUAAAAUACCAUGGAUAUGAACAAGUCUACAUGGACUCGCUAUCCGAAGAAAACCAAGAAUAAUUAAGCAUUGAUAACUACAUUGUAAUUUGGCCAGAUGCUCCAGCCUAUGCAUGUUCACUGCAAGGCACCCUACUGGUCUUGAAAAUCUGAAGCUGUCGUUUGACCAAAUGUUAUCUUAAUUAAGAGGAAAACAGAAAUUGCUUUUAGGGGUCUCUGACAUAUAUUCUGGAUACUACCAGAGGUAAUUUUGAAGUUUAUUAUAAAUGCUCAUAUCAAAUGAAUAUAGAACUAAUAUUGUCAAGAUCAGCUAAUAGGAAGGAAUACUAUUAUAGCAAAUCACAGAAUGAUAGACUCAGACAUAAAACCAGCAGUUUUAUCUGCUCCAAAAUGCCAUUGAUCAUUAUGCCUGUAUUUUCUCUGAAGCUGAUUAUAAAAAGUAAUGUCCAGUUAUUCUUUUGUUUUUGACACUUUGAAGAAAUGGUGAUUAAUUGAUUUGAUUUGUUUAUAAGUGGAUAUACUGCAAUUUACAAAGAUCUCUUUAAGGUCUUACAAAAUUAUGUUCCAGUUUGUACAUUUAUAUGGAAUUGUUCUUUAUCAAGUGUAGCUAAUGACAUAAAAAUAAUGAUGAAAUAUGGAGUUAUUUCUGACACAUGAAGCCCACUAAACUAUGCUUUCUUGUAAUGCAUAUUUCUUCUCAGUUUAAAUGUAUAUAAAUAUUGAAGCUAUA